GCAGCCACGGGCACCCUGCAAGCUUUCACUGCCGUAAAGAAAAGCGCCUGGGUCAGGACCCACGGAAGAACGGAUCGACCUGGCUGUUUGGCUUAGAAACCUCGUGACCGAACUGUUGACUUCAGCAGCGCCGGAGGGUCUUGCCAACUUGGCCAGGCUGGGCUUGAAGUUGGGCUCUUCCUGCCUUCUCCCAGAGUGCUGAGAUUGCUGAGAUUACAGGGCUCAACAGUCCCAAGGCCUGGAUGGUUCUCCUAGCAGCUGGACUCCCUGGAAUGGUUGAUUUGUUGGCCCGGUCACCAGAUAUCCUGGGACGGUGAAGAUGAGAGGAUAUGGCUCUAGGGAGCUCUUCCAGUGUUUGCCUAGGGCUGAAAAAGGAAAAUUGCACCAGGCAGUGAAGUCAGCAUGGAAGACUAUUUUUAAGACUACUGCAAUUGAGGGAUUGAAUUCGGGACCUUGUGCUUUCGAGGCAGGUGCUGGAACCACUGAGCUAAAUCCCCGGCCCCCGCCAUGAUGUUUCUGCCUCACCACGGGCUCAGAAGCAAUGAAGCCAGGUGACCAUGGACUGAAACCUCUGAAACCAUGAGCCAAAAUAAAUCUUUCCCCCUUUGCAUUGUUAUUUUCAAGUGUUUUGUCACCUGACUAACACGGGGAUCACAAGUGAGGGGAUUCUUGCUUACCUUGCUCAGCAGCCUGACAAACCAAUAAGGAGGUCUGGCUCAGAAGACUCAAGUAAAAUCUGGCUGAAGAGGGAGGGAGUCCUUGUCAGCCCCUGCCUCAUUCUACAUGCAAGACGCUGGGACUGUGUCUGUUUGCUCCUGGGAUCCCUGGCCUCCUGGACUGUGAGCUUAGGCCAGUGAUAUCUCUUUAUUUUGCAUAGUGCUGACUGUAGGUGAGUCCUUAAAGGCUGCUCACUCCCUAACACUUUGGGAGACAAAAUUGCAUUGUAGUUAAGAGCACAGGCUGGGCCGGGGAUUUAGCUUAGUGGUUCCGCAGCCUGCCUCGCAAGUACAAGGUCCCGAGUUCGAUCCCUGGUACCAAAAAAAAAAGAGCACAGGCUUAGGAGCCAGGCCUCAUGGCACAGGCCUGGAAUCCCAGCACUCUGAGAAGCUGAGGCAGGAGGAUCAUGAGUUUGAGCCCAACCUGGGCGACUCCAGUGACUUACUGAGACCCUGUCUCAAAACCAUUGGAAGAUGAGAGUUCUACAGAAUAAAAUAAAUAGGCCUUGGAAUCAGAACCCAUUGGUUCUGCUUGUUAACUGAAUAACUUUGGGCAGGACACUUGAAGACACCUUCUUCCUAGAGUGGUUAACUUUUAGUGUAAUUAUCGCGGUUCACUAAAUGAGAGCUACCAUGAGUAUCAGCAUCAUUGCUCCUCCUGAAGCCACCCCAACAUCCCCUGUAUUACAGCUAGUGAGUAUAAGAGUUUCCUUAGGCUUGUGGGUUGGGAAACAUCUCAGAGGUACUAGCCACCAUAGCACAGCCUUGUUUCUUUCCAUAGAAGCACACUAGCUAGAGCUUCUUUAAUUCACUGCACUAACUAUAAGG
rnacentral:lncRNA from 1 species